UGGGGAAUUUUGCACAAUGGGCGCAAGCCUGAUGCAGCGACGCCGCGUGAGGGAUGAAGGCCUUCGGGUUGUAAACCUUUUUCGCUCAUGGUCAAGCCGCAGCUUUGGGUUGUGGUGAGGGUAGUGGGUAAAGAAGCGCCGGCUAACUACGUGCCAGCAGCCGCGGUAAUACGUAGGGCGCGAGCGUUGUCCGGAUUUAUUGGGCUUAAAGGGCAUCUAGGCGGUAAGACAAGUUGAAGGUGAAAACCUGUGGCUCAACCAUAGGCUUGCCUACAAAACUGUUGAACUAGAGUACUGGAAAGGUGGGUGGAACUACACGAGUAGAGGUGAAAUUCGUAGAUAUGUGUAGGAAUGCCGAUGAUGAAGAUAACUCACUGGACAGAAACUGACGCUGAAGUGCGAAAGCUAGGGGAGCAAACAGG
rnacentral:rRNA from 1 species